rnacentral:misc_RNA from 1 species
AACAAGGCGUACCUGCGGACCUGCGGAAGGAUCAUUAACGAGCGUAACCUACCUUUUUAAAAAAAGGGUGGUACCUCCCGUCCUUUGCGGGCCCCUUUCUUUUAUUAGGGGGGGGGCUUUUAAGACUUUCUGCUUCGGCGGGGUUAUUCCCGCCGGAACACCCUCAAAAAACUCUUGAUCAAAAAACAGUUCAGUCCGAGAAUUUUUGAAAAUUAAAACAAAACUUUCAGCAACGGAUCU